rnacentral:rRNA from 1 species
GGCCUACGGGGGGCAGCAGUGAGGAAUAUUGGUCAAUGGGCGGAAGCCUGAACCAGCCAAGUAGCGUGCGGGAUGACGGCCCUACGGGUUGUAAACUGCUUUUAUCAGGGAAUAACGCGCCUUACGUGUAGGGCCUUGCAGGUACCGUAUGAAUAAGCACCGGCUAAUUCCGUGCCAGCAGCCGCGGUAAUACGGAAGGUCCGGGCGUUAUCCGGAUUUAUUGGGUUUAAAGGGAGCGUAGGCCGCAUGACAAG